rnacentral:rRNA from 1 species
AACGAACGCUGGCGGCAGGCUUAACACAUGCUAGUCGAACGCCCCGCAAGGGGAGUGGCGGACGGGUGAGUAACGCGUGGGAACAUACCCUUUCCUGCGGAAUAGCUCUGGGAAACUGGAAUUAAUACCGCAUACGCCCUACGGGGGAAAGAUUUAUCGGGGAAGGAUUGGCCCGCGUUGGAUUAGCUAGUUGGUGGGGUAAAGGCCUACCAAGGCGACGAUCCAUAGCUGGUCUGAGAGGAUGAUCAGCCACAUUGGGACUGAGACACGGCCCAAACUCCUACGGGAGGCAGCAGUGGGGAAUAUUGGACAAUGGGCGCAAGCCUGAUCCAGCCAUGCCGCGUGAGUGAUGAAGGCCUUAGGGUUGUAAAGCUCUUUCACCGAUGAAGAUAAUGACGGUAGUCGGAGAAGAAGCCCCGGCUAACUUCGUGCCAGCCGCCGCCGUAAGAC